GAUGAACGCUGGCGGCGUGCCUAAUACAUGCAAGUCGAGCGAACGGACGAGAAGCUUGCUUCUCUGAUGUUAGCGGCGGACGGGUGAGUAACACGUGGAUAACCUACCUAUAAGACUGGGAUAACUUCGGGAAACCGUAGCUAAUACCGGAUAAUAUUUUGAACCGCAUGGUUCAAAAGUGAAAGACGGUCUUGCUGUCACUUAUAGAUGGAUCCGCGCUGCAUUAGCUAGUUGGUAAGGUAACGGCUUACCAAGGCAACGAUGCAUAGCCGACCUGAGAGGGUGAUCGGCCACACUGGAACUGAGACACGGUCCAGACUCCUACGGGAGGCAGCAGUAGGGAAUCUUCCGCAAUGGGCGAAAGCCUGACGGAGCAACGCCGCGUGAGUGAUGAAGGUCUUCGGAUCGUAAAACUCUGUUAUUAGGGAAGAACAUAUGUGUAAGUAACUGUGCACAUCUUGACGGUACCUGAUCAGAAAGCCACGGCUAACUACGUG
rnacentral:rRNA from 1 species